CGAAGGCAGCUUUCUGGAUCAUUACUGACACUGAGGAACGAAAGCAUGGGUAGCGAAGAGGAUUAGAUACCCUCGUAGUCCAUGCCGUAAACGAUGUGUGUUAGACGCUGGAAAUUUAUUUUCAGUGUCGCAGGGAAACCGAUAAACACACCGCCUGGGGAGUACGACCGCAAGGUUAAAACUCAAAUGAAUUGACGGGGACCCGCACAAGUAGUGGAGCAUGUGGUUUAAUUCGAAGAUACGCGCAGAACCUUACCAACACUUGACAUGUUCGUCGCGACUCUAAGAGAUUAGAGUUUUCGGUUCGGCCGGACGAAACACAGGUGCUGCAUGGCUGUCGUCAGCUCGUGUCGUGAGAUGUUGGGUUAAGUCCCGCAACGAGCGCAACCCUCACUUUUAGUUGCCAUCAUUAAGUUGGGCACUCUGAAAGAACUGCCAGUGAUAAGCUGGAGGAAGGUGGGGAUGACGUCAAGUCCUCAUGGCCCUUACGUGUUGGGCUACACACGUGCUACAAUGGCAUCUACAACAGGAAGCAAAACGGCAACGUUAAGCAAAUCCCGAAAAGAUGCCUCAGUUCGGAUUGCACUCUGCAACUCGAGUGCAUGAAGCUGGAAUUACUAGUAAUCGUGGAUCAGCGUGCCACGGUGAAUGCGUUCCCGGGUCUUGUACACACCGCCCGUCACACCAUGGGAGUUGGUUCUACCUUAAGGCAAGGUUUCAAACCCUUGACCACGGUAUAGUCAGCGACUGGGGUGAAGUCGUAACAAGGUAACCGUA
rnacentral:rRNA from 1 species